UCAAAAACAUGUCCUUUUGAGUUUAAUAGAAGGUUUAACCUGCCCGAUGAUUAGAUUGAAUGGCCGCGGUAUUUUAACUGUGCUAAGGUAGCAUAAUCAUUUGUCUUUUAAUUAAAGGCUGGAAUGAAUGGUUGGACGAGGCAUUAACUUUCUUUAAUUUAGUUUUUGAAUUUAAUUUUUUAGUUAAAAAGCUAAAAUGUUUUUGAGGGACGAGAAGACCCUAUAGAUCUUUAUAUAUUUGUAUAUCAUAUAAUUUAGUGAAUUAAUUAUGCAGGAUAUAUUAAUGUAUUUGGUUGGGGCGAUUAUAGAAUAUAUCUAACUUCUAUUUAUUUUUUUCAUUAAUUAAUGUUUAACUGAUCCAUUUUUAUUGAUUAAAAGAUUAAGUUACCUUAGGGAUAACAGCGUAAUUUCUUUGGAGAGUUCUUAUCGAUAAAGAAGAUUGCGACCUCGAUGUUGGAUUAAAAUAAGUUUUAGGUGCAGGAGCUUAAUGACUAGGUCUGUUCGACCUUUAAUUUUUUACAUGAUCUGAGU
rnacentral:rRNA from 1 species